CCCAGCUUUAGCUUUUCCAGAUACUCUGCAUGUACAGGUUUAUGACACUGGAGAACUUUGAUAGCAUCUUCUACUUUGAACCACUCUCUCUUCCUUCCAAUAUUAACAGAAUCUUCCCAAUCUUCUAAUAUUUCAGUGACUGUUAGAACAUAAACAUAUGUUCUGUGCUUUCGGUCUUGGUUCUGCUCAAAUAUGCCCAGAAGUCUGCCUAGUUUUCCUUUGACUCCAGCCUCCUCAUAAACUUCCCUCACGGCAGCACCGCCAGGUUCCUCCUCGGGUUCCAUUCCUCCUCCUGGGACAAUCCACUGGUCUGGG
rnacentral:lncRNA from 1 species